AACGCAAGUUGCGCCUGAAGCCACCCGGUUGAGGGCAUGUCUGCCUGGGCGUCACGCAUCACGUCGCCCGCGUCACACAUCCUUUCUUGGAUUGUGUUGUACGUGGGCGGAUACUGGUCUUCCGUGCCCAUGGUGUGGUUGGCCCAAACAGGAGUCCGCUAAAGAAAGAGGCACGACUGGUGGUGGUUUGAUUUCACAGUCGUCUCGGGCGUGUGCUCUGACUCUUAAAGCGAAAUGACUUGAAAGUACCAUGAUGUGUUGUUCUUGUAACGGCCUUUCGAUCGCGACCCCAGGUCAGGCAGGACCACCCGCUGAGUUUAA
rnacentral:misc_RNA from 1 species